CUCACACAGGGGGGAUUAAGUGAAAUAACUCUUGUGAAGAAUUUGGCACAGCACAACAAUUUGCAUAUAGGAAGCAUGUAAUGAACAUUUAAUGUUAAAUUAUUAGGUGGUUCUUAAAACUCGCAUUCUCUGGCCUAAAUUUUGGAGUUCUGCCGUAACAUGUAGCAGACACACCCAAAGGAAGGUAUGUAUUUUGGUGAGAGUGGAGAAAGGCUCUGAUAGCUACUCAUGUGGUCUUUAACUUUGGAACUGAUAAGAAUUUUAAAAGCUGGCUAGUACAAGUCCUUAGUGUCCAGCUAAAAAACCUGGAGGUGAGUGACUGUUGCAAACACAGAAAGCUUGAUGAAGAAUCAGGACUAAAAUACGGCUCAUUGACCCUUCCUUUACAUGGCACUUUAUUGCAGGGAACAAGAUAUCUGGGGAUUGGAGACAAUGAAAUCUGCAACAAACAUCUGGGGGAAAAAAACGAAGAGAAUCUCCCAAAGAGAGUGGAAAACACCAGAGCCAACGGCUGGAUCAUGGAAAAGCUUAACUGUCAUGGUGCCUGGCGUCCACACAGAGCCCGUGGAAGGACCUGUGCCCACCAGUAAGCCUGGAAAACCUCCACCUGGACGGGCCCACAGCUCAAGUUUAUUGGAUACUUCUUCAACUUCCCUUAUCACUGAUUGAAAUUAUGGUUUUCUACAGGCAAAAAGGCUUGGUGGUGAGUACAUUCAUUUAACUUGUCGUAACAAUGAUGAUACAGACAUGUAGUCUGUUCGCCUAUCCUGUGUGAUUUUUUUUUUAAUGCUCAUUCACUCGAAUGCAUUAGAAAUAAACUGAAGCAUAUUAAACUUUUAAAAAAUAUUUUAAUAUUUAAGAGUUUAGUUGAACGACAGUUUGAAUGAGGAAGCAUCAGACCAGAAGUGGCAAGAUAUACUCUACCAAGAGGAGCUAGGGGAAAGAAUUUCAUAGAUAAAAAGUAGAGGCAAAGCAAGGAAAUUAUUUGAUUGGUUAUAGUUUAAGUGACUGCUUUAUUGGGAAAGCCCAGUUGGCUGUGAUUGGUUGUCCUUAGCUUUCCAUUUUUUAACUUUGCGGUAUUUAUAAAACCUGUAGGUUUUGGUUUGCUUAGUAGGUUGCUAACAUGUUAGAACCACCUCAUGCUACUGGCUUCCUUGUUUGAGUAACUUAACAUAUGUAUUUGUGAAUUGGAAAAUGAGGUCAGUGUAUCGUGGAGGUUGUGUGGGUUCACACAUAAUUUUCCUCAACACAUUCGUGUUUCAAAGCCAUUAGAGCCAAGCUUUCUCACAAUUCGAGAAAAAAACUUGACAGUACCUUAAAACUUAAUCUAAAAGUUAAAAAUUCUGCAGAAAUGCCUUUCCUUUGUAUGAAAUGUGGCUUGUUCAAUACUUCAAGAAUCACUGCAUUUUCUGUGUUAAGUAAGCUCUCUGGGGAGUUUCAGGUAGAGAGGAAGAAGCUUAAAGACAUUUAUCCCAUAUUAAAAGAGAAAUUAAUGGCAAAUUAGGUUGUUCUCAGAUUGUAUUUUAAAUUUUGGUUAAAUUUAUGAAAGUGCUUGUCUUCAAGGACAUUCAUUUCAUUCAGUGCCAGAUUUUUAACCCAUUGAGCAAGACCACGGGUUGGACCCUCAUCCUCUUGGAUGCUAGUCAGGUUCUUAACCACUGAGUCACAACGAGAACUCUGAAAGGACUGAGAUUCUAUGGCAAAUGCCCAUGGAAAUUUAACCAUAGUAGCAUAAUUUCUUUUUUGGAUUCUUGUUAUUUUUAUUAAGGUAUUGAUUUCAAAGCUACAUUUAAAAAAUUGAGAUAUACUUGAUAUACAACAUUAGUUUUGGCUGUACAGCCUAGUGAUUCAAAAUUUGUAUCGAUUAAGGUGCAAAUUAAGUUAUUAUAAAGCAUUAAUUAUAUUCACUGCACUGUGCAAUAUAUCCUCUGUUGCUUGUUCAUUUUAUAUGUAAUAGUUUGUACCUCUUAAUAUCCUACCCUUAUUCUGCCCCCACCUCCUCAGUGGUAUCUAAUUGUUCUCUAUAUCUGUGAGAUUUCUGUUUUCUUAUGUUUGUUCAUUUAUUUUGUAGAUUCUACAUAUAAGUGGUAAAUACAUUAUUUGCCUGCCUCCCUCAGACUUACUUCACUAAGCAUAAUACCUCUAGGUCCAUUCAUGUUGCAAAUGGCAAAAAUUCAUUCUUUUUAU